CCUGGAGAUCUGAGGGGAAGCAA
rnacentral:misc_RNA from 1 species